CCGCCAUGAUUGUGAGGCUUCCCCAGCCAUGUGGAAACAUAUUCGCAGAGCACCCACUAGGUGCCAGUAAAUGUAUGAGAAGUCCUGUGGAAUAAGACUGAAGUUGUCCUUGCCUUCAAGCAACUUGCAAUUGCCUAAGAACACAGUUUAAAACCACAAAACUAAGCCUUGGAAAUCACAUGCUGUCAUUUCUGCGAUCGGUCAUAACCAGUCCUGAUUCCAUGUUAGAGGAGACUACAUAAGGACACAGGUACCAGAAGAUGAAAAAUUUGGAGUCUAGUGAAAAGAAGUGACUUGCUCAAAAUCACACAGCACAUGAAGAACAGAGCCUCUAUGAUGAAUUUCUUGACAGAACUCUCUUUUGGCCUGCUGCCAUUCACGUUAGAUGUGACUUGCUCCUCCUUGCCUCCUGCCAUGAUUGUGAGGCCUCCCAAGCCAUGUGGAACUAUGGGAGUUUACCUGCACAAAACUCUUUUUUUGCCUGCUACCAUCCACGUUAGAUAUGACUUGCUCCUCCUUGCCUUCCAUCAUGAUUGUGAGGCCUGCCCAGACAUGUGGAACUCUGAUAUAAGUCUUUUGAGGUACAGCCUGGCACAAAAAGGAUGAGAUUUGUGGGCAGAAUUUUGGAAGAAUAUCUCCCGAGAGAACAUUCAGGACAGAUUGCACUGCUUUGGAGAGCUGGUGAUGAAAUCCGGCCAUUGAAUUACACUGCACUAUAAACUUCAUUUGUUCUUGGGUGCAUAGUGAUUUGCUAUAAUAAUGAUCAUCCAUUUGCCAGACAGCUGAGAUUUUUUAAAAGCUUGAUUGCUUUUGGCAUGGCAUUAUUAGUCCUGGAAGAAGGCAGCACAUUUGUAGCAAUUCUCAGCUUGAGCAAACUAGAAUAUUCACCUCCCACAAAUGCUGGCCAUUUAAGAUCUGUGUGUUAGACUUUGGCAUUUUUUCUAGCAAUUCUACAACAGCAUACACACUUUUAUUUUUCAUUAACACCAUUGUGAAUAUGCCCAUCUCUAAAAUUUCAAGGGGGUUCACUUAAGCUACUGAGUUUUAUGGACAGAAGGGCCAAGAAAAGUCCCCAAAGAAGAGUGCAUGCUGUCAAUUGCCAAUUAUUUUUUUUUCUAAUGAAAGCCAAACAAUUCCAGACAAACCCUUUUCUAAGAAAUGAACUACAUAUCUGGAUCCAAAUAAAUACUCAUCUGAUAAGAAUCUAAAAGCUCUACUGAAUUACAGUGGAUGAGAACAUGAUGAUGGUGAUUCUUUGAAGAUUACUGAGGAAAUCAACUCUCAUGUCUGAUUCUGAUACUUUUAUAGUCCAUCCAUGUUGAAAAUGUCUAUGGAAUGAUUCUGUUGUACCUUGAGAAAUGAAAUUCAUAGGCAUGGAUUCUCUCACACAGCAACUUUAUACACAAAGAUGAGAAUAGAAGAAAGGUCAUUUCCAAAGAAAGUGACAUUUAUUCUGUAUUCACUGAAAAGCCAAAAGAAUUUUCUCAUUCACCCAUACCGACAGAGCCCUACAUCUCCCCGAGAAGAGGUGAAAGAGACUGCUCCUAUCUGCUUCUGCAUCAAACUUCAGGCUCAAGACCUGUCCAGAAAAAAAAAUGUCUUCUUUCAGGGAUGAACUGCUGUCCUCAUCAGACGCCUUAUUUUGUUUAGAAUUCAAGCUCACUUGACAGGUUAUUGUGAAGAUUAAAUGAAUUAAUACAUGUGAAGCAACUGUAACAACUCUUGACAUGCGGAUCCCAUUGAGGAUGCCACAUUAUGUUUCAUUGCCAUGUCUCCAUAGACUCUUCUUGGUUGUGAUGGUUUCUCACGCUUUUCUUGGUUUUGAAGACGUUGACAAUUUUCUUCCAUUGGGAUUUGCUUGAUGCUUUUCUCAUGAUUACACUGGAACUGUGACUUUUUAGAAGGAAGAUCAUAGAGGAGAAGAAACUGAGGUUCAAGGACUAGUAACCAGCAGCAGAUCACACAGCUGGAAGACAACUAAGAGCAAAAAAACAGGCACAAUUAAAGUGCUAAGAAAUCACUGCAGACAGAGAACCUGACACUGACAAGGAG
rnacentral:lncRNA from 1 species